rfam:Danio rerio chromosome 4, GRCz11 reference primary assembly.
GCUGUGAUUGUAUAGUGGUAAGUGUUCUGCAUUGUGGCUGCAGCAACCCUGCUUCAAAUCCGUGUCAUGGCA